AGCAGGGACUCUGGCUUUGCAGAGCAUCCCCGUUUCCCCGUUUUUCCCUUUUCACCCAAUAAAACCCUGCUUCACUCACCCUUCAAACCAUCUGCAAGCCUAAAUUUUUGUGGCUGUGGGACGGACAAAGAUGCCUUUAGCUGACUGAGGAAAAGUCCUGCAACACAGGAUUCCAAAACCUCCCCACAGAUGCCUGAACUAAGGAAGUGGACAGCCUUAGGAGACAAGCAUUUGCUGGAAGAGACGUUUCUCUUAAUUUACAUGAGACUAUCUCCUGGGCUGGUGUGCAAUGGCUCCAUCUCAGCUCACCGCAACCUCCACCUCCCAGGUUCAAGUGAUUCUCCUGCCUCAGCCUCCCGAGUAGCUGCGAUUACAGGCACCCACCAUUACGACCGGCUAAUUUUGUAUUUUUAGUAGAGACGGGAUUUCACCACACUGGCCAGGCUGGUCUCAAACUCCCAACCUCAGGUGAUCCACUCGCCUUGGCCUCCCAAAGUGCUGGGAUGACAGGCGUGAGCCACCGCACCCGGCCACUUGUUUUUGUUUUCUUAAACUGACUUUUGUUUUCAGCAGAGUGUCUCAACUAAGAACCCAAAAAGGGAAAGAAAAGAAACUAUGUGUUCUCCCCUACAGAAUGUUCUUGCCAUAACUUUGUGAGAUGACAUGAUUCAGAAUUAUCUCCUUGGCUUCUCAUAGAGAGUUCCAAAUCAUGUCACCUUGCUUUGUGGAGAAAAUGACCAGUUAUGGAUAGCAAGUACAUUUGAAGCUGCUUCCGUUGCUUGGGGAUCUAUCUAACAGUAUGAGGCUCAGGAGAAGUUUUGCCCUUUCUCCCUAGGAGGACGUGCUUUCUACAAACAGCCAAUGUUCUGAGCUGCCUUCUUAAAGAUGUGAUUUCAGGAGCUCAUUGCAGACUUCCUAUGCAACUAGCCCAAGAGUUCUUUGUGUCUCUAAGAACUUAUCAAAGAACUCAGCAGUAUGAGAAUAGAUCAAUACAUAGAGGGUUUCCUUUAAGUCUUGUAGAAACUCAUUACUCUCCAGUCUCUUUUUCCACUUAUAGUAGAGAGAAUCAGACUUGCGGAUAUCCAGUUAACUAUCAAUACCUUUAAAAAAUGUGAACAAGCAGUCCGUCUGAAUAAUUAUACCAAAUGUCAAGGCUUUUAAAAGUGCUUAACUUUAAAGGUCCUUUGCAGUUGUUCAGACCUAGAUUCUCAGUUCAGUUAGCAGAGAGAGAGACAAGGAAAAAAAUGAGGAACACUUUUCUCACGCAUAAGUAUUCACUGGUUUUUGAAAUACUAUUGAUUCCUUGGAUAAGAAAAUAGGUCAACUUUAUAGCUUUUUGUCUCCAAAUUGAUUUCCCGCCACAAACAGUGGCUUGUGCCUAUAAUCCCAGCUACCUGGGAGGCUGAGGUGGGAGGAUCGCUUGAGCCCAGAAAGUCAAAGCUACAGUGAGCUGUGAUUGUGCCACUGUAUCCCAACCUCGGUGACAGAGUGACACACUCUCUCUUAAAAAAAAAAAAAAAAGAUUUCCAUGAAUGUGCUGGUAAACCAGGAGAUAUAGAACUACUUGCCUCCAAUUAGAACUCAAAUCCUCCUAUAUCCCCUGCAGAGUGCUUGCUUCUUAUUCAGAAGGAGGACACAUUUUCACCAUCUGUGGGGUGAUCGGACAGCAUUCACGAACACACCUUAAUGGAACACUGUCGGCUGUGCAAAAAAUCUCCCCAAAUAAAUGAUAAGGCCUUUUGUGAAAUCCACAUUACUGUGGGUUUUGAGCUCUGAGCUACCAUAUUCAUACAACAGAACUCGAGUACUUCACACAGUAUUAAUCCUUUGCAUUUUGUAACUUAGAAAUCUGCUUUGAGAGAUCAAUUCAGUAGUUUUGUUUUUAACUUUUCCAUUAAAUAUUAUUUGAAAUGCUUUCAGGCAGCCCUUGCUUAUCCUCUGAUGUGUGAUACAUUUUCUGGGUUUUUCCUUGCAAAAUCAGAUCCCCUUCUUUCAGUUAGCUACAAAGUGUUAGAAUAUUAAAUGGUUAUAUUUGCCAAUACCAUGCCGUACUCUAGAAAUAAAGAGAGCUAAGAGUUACAGAAGAUACAUUAUCAAGUUUCUAGCAACUUCAAAAGCAUGGAAAAGUUAGCACAUGGAAGAUUCUGAUUUGUUUUAUUUAUUUAUUUAUUUUUUAAUUUUCAAAAGAGCUUUAAUGGACUUAUACAGUUCCACAUGGCUGGGGAGGCCUCACAAUCAUGGCGGAAGGCAAGGAGGAGCUCUCUUUUUGCCUGCCGCCAUCCAUGUAAGAUGUGACUUGCUGAUUUGUUUUAAAAAGUGACACAGAGCACGUUUUUGAAGUUAGCAAUAAAUUGGCCAUUUGAAAUGAGGAAGCUAUGGAAUGUAGAUCUGUUUUGAAACUGCAGGAAGGAUCACAGAACAAUGCCCCGUUCUGAUGAAUCAGUAGAAACUAGAAGACAGAAAAGCAUGUCAUGUACUCUCCGUAAAGUUUGCUUGCUGGCACUAUUCCUGCUUCAGCAUUGAAAAAGUACACUCAUUAACCAAUUGAAUACAAAAACAGUGCCUUCCACAGUUCAAUUAUGCUGCUUUAGGCAUACUAAAUUAGCUGUCUCCUGAAGUCUAUCCACAGCUUCAGAAAACGAUUCCUGGAAAUAAGGAGUAUUGUGUGGACUUGAAAUGAAUCAGAAAGGAAAUGAAAGUGAAACUUGGGAAUGAAAAAGCUUGGGUUAUGUUCAUACAGCAGUAUGUCAUCCUGACCAUAUACAGAAUGGCCAUUAUACAGUGUGCACUAAACUGAGUAAUGAGAGGGCUAAAGAUAGUGUCAUGAAUUGAAAGCCUUUGCAAUAUAAGCAGAAACAUAAAACACAGAAACAAGUACAAAAUGAGAAAAACAUAUCCAAAGUUGGCAUUCCAUGCCAAUAAUGCCUAGGUAAAAGACACAGAAGAGUAGACAGAGGAUAAUUAGAAAAAUAUGACAUUGCAAUAAGAAAACAAAAACCAUUGCUAUAGAAAAGAGAAUUAAAUUCAAUUUAAUUUAUACAUAUCAGGUACACUAAAUGGAAGACACUGAACGAGGUACUAGGGUUGCCGCAAUAAACUCUACUCUAUUCCUACAGUAACAGAUAUAAAGAAAACAGAGGGAACCUGUCAUCAUUAUGGUUCCACAAACAUUUUUGCUUGGACGAUGAAUCAACAUUGGGUGGUAAGGAGAAAUAAGACAGAUAAGAUAGGAAGCUCAAUCUAGAACAUAUACUUGACAUUUUAAAUGCACACAUGUGACUGUAGAGGAGAAGAUGAAAUUGAUUGGCCUGGAAAUACACUGAAAAGUUGUGUCAUUAGAAGGACACUGAGCCAGGAGUGGCAGAGUGGAGUCUGCAGUCAGGGCUCUAUCAGUAUUCAAUGAUCACUCUCUCUGUCAUGUUGACCAUAUGGCAAGUCAAAUCAGGCUUUCAGGAAGCCAGGGGGGCAUGUCUGUAAUGGUGUGUUGUAUUCCAGUACUUCACACCUAAUUCACUCUCUUCAUAAAACAGGGUGGCCACCCUUGAUUCUGUGGAAGGAAAAAAAAUGAACGAACAAUGGGAAGAGUCCAAAAUUAUAAGAAAAGUAUUUCUUCUCCGUGCUACCACUACGAAGCUCUUGGUUUCUCAUUAUACAAUGAAGUUACACAAUUUAGCAAUGGGAAAACAGAUAGUAAAUGCACACUUCACAACACAGCAAGACAAUGCUUUUCACAGAUGGCUGAGCACUGCAGGAAUGUGGAAGGGAUCCCCGUAUGUGGAAAGGAUCUACUUCAAUUCCAUACCUCAGUCCUUCACCUCCAGACAUGCAGGGUGACAGAAUCAAGACAUAACGCUAUUUGUAAAUUAAAUAUUGGUGUAUCACAACACCACGGUCAAGCUCUCAGCAUCAAAAAAUCAGCUUUGAAAGAGAAAAGGCAAAUUCACACACAGUGGCCCUGGUAUCUGGCCUGUGCUGAUGUGUUUAGGGAACAACAUUUUGGCUCCCUGAAAUAUUUUAACACACGCAUAUAUUUAAAUAAAUUAUAAUAAGGCAAAUGUCAUCAUGCCAAAGCAUCAUUAUGCUAAGACAAUAGGUUAAUUUAUUUAGUGAAUAGAGUCUAAAUGGCAUUUGGUGCAAAGUGGAUCCAGAAUAUUGAUAAAGUACAGUUCUCAAGCAAAAAGGUAUUUGUUUGUGCUUGUCAACACUUUAUGUAACUCAUUAAUGAAAGAACCAGAGGGUAGAUUAAGGGGAAUAUCCAACAGCAUUUGAAAAAAUUGAGAUCUAUAUAGUCAUUUGUGUAAGGGAUGUGUAAACAAAAUUGCUAAAUUAGUUAGAAGACGGGUUGACUUUUUACAGAUUGUGAAAUCACAGCAUUUUAUAAAUUUCCGCAGAUUAAAUUCUAACCUUGACUAUGGACUGUUGGCCAAAUUAACUGUCACAACAAAUAUCAGAUGACACACAAGCAGACUUAUCAGAACAUGCAUGAACUUUAUAAAAAACAUAUAUUGUUAGCCUCGUUUUAUCUUUUUCCAAGUCUGAAAUACAUUUUUAUGUCACAGGGAGAACCCCAAGAUUGUAUUCAUUUUCUUUUUUCCACCAUUUGUGUUCUUGAUAGCACAGGUGCAGCCUCGGGCUCAGUUAAAUGUACCCACUAGGUUCUAAAAAUGAUGACAACCUUUGGGGAAAUCUAGUCACCCCCUUUAUUUUACUCAUAUGAAAACUUACAGCUCAUAUGGAAACAGAAAGUUUUCAUGAAAGUUUCUUUCAUAAAGCAAGUUUAUGAAAGAAAGGCUUAACAUCUUACCCAGCCAUAUACCCUUUCAGAAGCAGGAAUGGAACUGGACCCCAGGGAUUCUGACUUUGUUUCAGGACUCUUCCUAAUGCAACAUCCUUAUCUGUAUAAAAGUUUUAAACUGUUAUAUGCAUUUCAUGAGCUUUAUGCAUUUUGUAUAGUAUUACCCGUGGGGGCAGGGUAAGAAGCUUUACAAUGGAGUUGUCACUACAUGAUUCUCACAUUUGCAUUAUUUCUGUGCUUUUUAGGUUCCAUCUUAACUAAGUUUUAAAUGCUAGAAUGUAAGGCUUAAGCAGGUAAAGAUCUCAUUCUAAUUUCUACCAUGUAUGGCAGGUAAUUAAACUGUAGACAAUGGUGCAUCAGGCGAAGGUGCCCCCGAUGAUUUACUAUUCAGGGUCCUAAUAAUUUGACAUUCCAAGCACAAUACAGCUAAAACAAAGACUGAAACACUGGGAGCCAUAAAACUGCAAGUAUAAUUCGAGACAUCUAAUCUGGGGGAGAAAAUCGAGAACCAAUGGCUCUAACAGUGAGUCAUCUGUUAGCAUUCCCAAGCUCUGAACUGUAGCUUUAAGAAAGAAAAACAAAUAUCCUCAUUUUGCAUGUUAAGUUUCAAAUCUAAUGUGUUUCUGGUUCUGCAUUUUAACACCUAUAUGCUCUGUAAAAAAUAUUCAAUGGAUUAUUUUCCCAAGUUCUAUCAUAUGACAGGGCUUCAACGUCUUAUAUUAAAUCAGUUCUAAACU